rnacentral:rRNA from 1 species
UAUUGGAGAUUGAUUAAGCCAUGCGAGUCGAGGGCUUCGGCCCGGCGUACCGCUCAGUAACACGUGGGUAACCUGCCCUAUGGAGGGGGAUAACCUCGCGAAAGUGAGAACAAUACCCCAUAGCCCACUACGCCUGGAACGGUGAGUGGGUCAAAGCUCCGGCGCCAUAGGAUGGGCCUGCGCCGUAUCAGGUUGUAGGGGGUGUAAAGUACCCUCUAGCCAUCAACGCGUACGGGUGUUGGGAGACAUUGCCCGGAGAUGGAUUCUGAGACACGAAUCCAGACCCUACGGGGUGCAGCAGGCGCGGAAACUUGGCAAUGCGAGAAAUCGUGACCAGGGAACUCCAAGUGCGUAGGGUAAGACCUACGCUUUUCUUGACUCUUCAAAGGUCUUGGAAUAAGGGGUGGGUAAGGACGGUGCCAGCCGCCGCGGUAAUACCGGCGCCUCAAGUGGUAGUCGCUUUUAUUGGGCCUAAAACGUCCGUAGCCGGUCUGGUGCAUUCGUGGGUAAAUCAACCCGCUCAACGGGUUGAAUUCUGCGAGCACGGCCAGACUUGGGACCGGGAGAGGUGUGGGGUACUCUCAGGGUAGGGGUAAAAUCCUGUCAUCCUGAGAGGACCACCUGUUGCGAAGGCGCCACACUAGAACGGAUCCGACGGUCAGGGACGAAACCUAGGGGCACGAACCGGAUUAGAUACCCGGGUAGUCCUAGGUGUAAACGCUGUGGACUUGAUGUUGGGGGCGCUCCGAGCGCCUUCAGUGUCGAAGCGAAGGUGAUUA